rnacentral:ncRNA from 1 species
AGGAGCCGUGUGAGGUGAAAGUCUCAUGCACGGUUCUGAAGGAGAGGUUAGGAGGGUAACUUCUUAAUCGACUCUAAC